rnacentral:tRNA from 1 species
AAAUCCGCCGACUUUAUAAGUUGUGAGGGKKCAAGUCCAUCUAUCCCCAA